UACGUAGGGUGCGAGCGUUGUCCGGAAUUAUUGGGCGUAAAGAGCUCGUAGGCGGUCUGUCGCGUCUGCUGUGAAAACUCAGGGCUUAACCCUGAGCUUGCAGUGGGUACGGGCAGACUAGAGUGCGGUAGGGGAGACUGGAAUUCCUGGUGUAGCGGUGAAAUGCGCAGAUAUCAGGAGGAACACCGGUGGCGAAGGCGGGUCUCUGGGCCGUAACUGACGCUGAGGAGCGAAAGCAUGGGGGAGCGAACAGG
rnacentral:rRNA from 1 species